CUUCUGCUUCUCGAUCUUUCUUUCGCUCGCUCUUUCUCCCUCUCUUCCUCGACGCAGACGCUGGCGACAGCGACGCCGACGGCGACCAUACCCUUCGCAGGCCACGCGUGUGCCCCCGGUUGCUCAUCCCCGGCACGAAGACGCGCGACUGGGCCCUGCUGGUGGCCGUCGGCAUGGCUUCCCCUCGGCGCUGCAUCCUCCCGUCGAUCCGCGAUGUCUCGGCGAAACCCUAGCUGCCUCUUUCCGGUCAAGCCGACCUAGUCAGGGCCUCCAUGGCGCAAUUGUGCGGGCCUGGCCCCAACACGAGCGGUGCGCUGGUGUAGCCUCUCAGAGUCUCGGUGCACACCAGCGCUGCCUCCUUCCACGACCCCGGCUACGUCGCGUCGGCAACGUACGUCCAGCGGCUCGGCAGCGGCACAAAGCCAGAUUAGAUUUCCUUGAUGAGUUGCUGACCAAACUAUGUGUUGCGAGCUGCAUACCAUGUGUUUGAUACAAUGCCCGUGUGUGCUUACUGUCCUUUUGCGUUUAAAAUGUGGUUUACCAUCAUGUACAGUACGAUGAUAACUGGCAACUGAAAGUGGUUUUCUCACAUGUGUUCAUCCAAUGAAGAACCAUUUAGAUUAGGCUAAAAUCUUUACAUUCUUAUCAGCUAAUGCACUCCUUUUCAAAUUACUGAGAAGCUAAGAAAAAACUUUGCUUGCAGCACUGAUUUCUUUGCUUAUGGAUUUCAUAUUUGUAUCUUUAAUAGUUCAGUAACUUCAGUUGAUUACAGAACUGGUCCAGGAUCUUGCAUUUACUAUUUUUGAACUUACAAACCACAAAUCAUAUUUUUUCGUGCAUCCCUUAUUCUGUUUGUGAUUUUGCAUAUAAAUUAUGAAUGUUAAUUUGCGUCUAGAAGAUAAACAACUUGUAUAUCCUAAGGGGCGUCAAAUGACAGAAGUUGUAUGUAUUGAUUUCUUUCAGCUGGAAUAGAAGCAUGGAACUACUGGCCUGCAGCUUUUGAAUUUGGAGGACAUGACUGCUGAGUGUUGCAACGGUCAUGCUUGGAUGUAUGGCCUAUUGGUAGAUAUGCAGUUGCUGGAACAGCUGCCAAGAAAAUAAGAAAUAGUCAUAUGUGCUGCCAAGAAUUCGUGUCAAUCGUUUGCAGCAUCACAGUGAACACCCAGCUGUUUCAUUCAUGGGGAUGCCCCUCGGCUACCUUGUUGUUUCUUGCAAUCCUCAUGGCAACAAUGCAGUCAUGAUAUGUCUGCCAUGGCGUCGCUGAUACCCAGCGACAAGUGACCAGUCUGAGAAAGGAUAUUUGCCAGAUUUGCUUUCUUGGUUCACCAGUAUUUUGAUUGACAGCCCAUUUCCAGACAGAUGAAGACUAAAACAACAAUUUUUGCAAACAGAUUUCUUCAAACGUCACUUUUGUAUAUUACAUACAGAUCAAAAGUCCGAUGAUUCCCGACAGGAGCAUAAAGGCAAUUCCUUCAGAACAACGCCAGAAGUGAUUCAGAUGCGAAGCAAGAUACUUUAGCGCCAUGGAAUGGGUUAGGCUUUAUAUGUCAGAAACAAUCAUCAUCCCCUAGCUAUCUCAGAACGGCUCAUCAAGGUCUACGACCUUUUUACCUAUAAUGCAUGUAAUAUAUACCUCUCUAUAAUCAGCUCCAAAGACAUCAAGGUCUAUGACCUUUCACCUAUGUACUAAGCCAUCAACAUAUGUAAUAUAAUAUACACGUACAAAUAUAUACAUGUACAUGUAUAUCUCCAUCAAUAUAACCUUAUCAUGGAUAA